CCUACGGGAGGCAGCAGUAGGGAAUCUUCCACAAUGGGCGCAAGCCUGAUGGAGCAACACCGCGUGAGUGAAGAAGGGUUUCGACUCGUAAAGCUCUGUUGUUGGAGAAGAACGUGCGUGAGAGUAACUGUUCACGCAGUGACGGUAUCCAACCAGAAAGUCACGGCUAACUACGUGCCAGCAGCCGCGGUAAUACGUAGGUGGCAAGCGUUAUCCGGAUUUAUUGGGCGUAAAGCGAGCGCAGGCGGUUGCUUAGGUCUGAUGUGAAAGCCUUCGGCUUAACCGAAGAAGUGCAUCGGAAACCGGGCAACUUGAGUGCAGAAGAGGACAGUGGAACUCCAUGUGUAGCGGUGGAAUGCGUAGAUAUAUGGAAGAACACCAGUGGCGAAGGCGGCUGUCUGGUCUGCAACUGACGCUGAGGCUCGAAAGCAUGGGUAGCAAACAGGAUUAGAUACCCUAGUAGUC
rnacentral:rRNA from 1 species